UGGGUAAUCUGCCCUCGAUUCUGGGAUAGCCCGGGGAAACCCGGAUUAAUACCGGAUAGCCUCUCGAGCUUUCGGGCUCGUGAGAAAAGGUAGCUUCGGCCUCCGAUCGAGGAUGGGCCCGCGGCCUAUCAGCUUGUUGGUGGGGUAACGGCCUACCAAGGCGACGACGGGUAGCUGGUCUGAGAGGACGACCAGCCACACUGGAACUGAGAUACGGUCCAGACUCCUACGGGAGGCAG
rnacentral:rRNA from 1 species